AUUCAACUGACGAGUCCCAAAUAGGACGAAACGCGCGUCAAACUUGAU
rnacentral:hammerhead_ribozyme from 1 species